rnacentral:rRNA from 1 species
AUUGAACGCUGGCGGCAGGCCUAACACAUGCAAGUCGAGCGGAGCGGCGGACGGGUGAGUGCUGCCGAGGGAUCUGCCCGGUGGUGGGGGAUCACGUCCGGGAACGGGCGCUAAUACCGCAUACGAUAAGAGCAGCCUAGGUCGGAUUAGCUAGUUGGUGGGGUAAAGGCCUACCAAGGCGACGAUCCGUAACUGGUCUGAGAGGAUGAUCAUCCACACUGGAACUGAGACACGGUCCAGACUCCUACGGGAGGCAGCAGUGGGGAAUAUUUGACAAUGGGCGAAAGCCUGAUCCAGCCAUGCCGCGUGUGUGAAGAAGGUUUUCGGAUUGUAAAGCACUUUAAGUUGGGAGGCGUUACCAACAGAAUAAGCAACGGCUAACUUCGUGCCAGCAGCCGCGGUAAUAC